AAUACGAUCACGAUGCUUUGAGGAAGAGGGAAGACAUUUUGCUAGCCUGACCUGAUCGUCAAACCAUUUCAAAUGGCGCUCAGCGAGCUCGGGAGUGCGUUCAUGACUCUGAUCAGCUUCCUUGCAAGAAAUAAAUAUAUCGGAAUCCAUAUAAAUUUCGAAAAUUUUUCUCCAGCAAUAAAGAGAUUUGUAUUUCUUUUUGGAAUUAGGGGAAGCUAUAAGAGAUAUUUCAUGACUCAGGAUAUCAAUUGCGUUAAAAAGAAUUUUACGCUGUUCACGCUGUAGUCCUUCAACACUUUGCAACUCCGAAGUUAAUUUUUCAAAAAACUCGUGGUCACAGUUCAACGAUAUUUCCAUACUUUGAACUUCGGACAUGUCAGAACUCAUAGUUUGAGUAUCGAUAUCUUCAUCAACCGUUUCACAAGUCUCUACGCUCUGAGAUGAUGCGGACACACUUGGUAACGUAUUGGUAGGGGGCUGCUGAGUAGAAUCCGAAGGAGUAGAAGGAACAUUUGAGG